rnacentral:lncRNA from 1 species
AGGCGGCGGGUGGGGCGGUAUCCGCACUGGCUGCUCAGGCUCGCGCUGGGCGAGGUUCUGCCUCUUCCUGCCCACCCUGUAGGAAGAACCCCGCAGGAAGGAAGGUGAAGGCGAUGACCGCUGUGCCUCUUCCGUAGGGAGCUCAGGUGAGCUCAUAUUUCAAUCUCAACCCUCUCCCUUACUCUUUACUCCUAUACUGUAUGUGGGCUU